UACAGAGGGUGCGAACGUUGCUCGGAAUUACUGGGCGUAAAGCGCAUGUAGGCGGACCUGCAAGUCAGAUGUGAAAUCCCCGGGCUCAACCCGGGAACUGCAUCUGAAACUGCAGGCCUUGAGUACUGGAGAGGGUGGCGGAAUUCCUGGUGUAGAGGUGAAAUUCGUAGAUAUCAGGAGGAACACCGGUGGCGAAGGCGGCCACCUGGACAGUUACUGACGCUGAGAUGCGAAAGCGUGGGGAGCAAACAGG
rnacentral:misc_RNA from 1 species